UCUUAUCCCGAGCUGGUGGAGGGACAGGCCCAAUGAAACCCAGCAACCUGCAAACGAAAAUUGAAUUGAUGGAUGGAGGACCAUUUAUCAAGGAUUUUUUCGGGCAAAGGUGCUAAACCUGAAGCAAGGCUUGACCUUGAACGAUAAGA
rnacentral:ncRNA from 1 species